UCAUUCGGAUUCGCCAUCAUACGUCCAACCGUGCAUUUGAAAUGCAUAUAUAUGCAUCACGAGCCACGGUUGGGCUGUAUGAUGGCGAUACCGAUUGG
rfam:Triticum aestivum genome assembly, contig: Triticum_aestivum_CS42_TGACv1_scaffold_027131_1AS